rnacentral:rRNA from 1 species
UGAAAUGUUGGGUUAAGUCCCGCAACGAGCGCAACCCUUAUCCUUUGUUGCCAGCACGUAAUGGUGGGAACUCAAAGGAGACUGCCAGUGAUAAACUGGAGGAAGGUGGGGAUGACGUCAAGUCAUCAUGGCCCUUACGAGUAGGGCUACACACGUGCUACAAUGGCGCAUACAAAGAGAAGCGACCUCGCGAGAGCAAGCGGACCUCAUAAAGUGCGUCGUAGUCCGGAUUGGAGUCUGCAACUCGACUCCAUGAAGUCGGAAUCGCUAGUAAUCGUAGAUCAGAAUGCUACGGUGAAUACGUUCCCGGGCCUUGUACACACCGCCCGUCACACCAUGGGAGUGGGUUGCAAAAGAAGUAGGUAGCUUAACCUUCGGGAGGGCGCUUACCACUUUGUGAUUCAUGACUGGGGUGAAGUCGUAACAAGGUAACCGUAGGGGAACCUGCGGUUGGAUCACCUCCUUACCUUAAAGAA